rnacentral:rRNA from 1 species
GAUGAACGCUGGCGGCGUGCCUAAUACAUGCAAGUCGAGCGAACAGACGAGGAGCUUGCUCCUCUGACGUUAGCGGCGGACGGGUGAGUAACACGUGGAUAACCUACCUAUAAGACUGGGAUAACUUCGGGAAACCGGAGCUAAUACCGGAUAAUAUAUUGAACCGCAUGGUUCAAUAGUGAAAGACGGUUUUGCUGUCACUUAUAGAUGGAUCCGCGCCGCAUCAGCUAGUUGGUAAGGUAACGGCUUACCAAGGCAACGAGGCGUAGACGACCUGAGAGGGUGGUCGGCCACCCUGGAACUGAGACACGGUCCAUACUCCUACGGGAGGCAGCAGUAGGGAACCUGCCGCAAUGGGCGAAAGCCUGACGGAGCAGCGCCGCGUGAGUGAUGAAGGUCUUCGGAUCGUAAAACUCUGUUAUUAGGGAAGAACAAAUGUGUAAGUAACUAUGCACGUCUUGACGGUACCUAAUCAGAAAGCCACGGCUAACUACGUG